rnacentral:rRNA from 1 species
CACGGAGGGGGCUAGCGUUGUUCGGAAUGACUGGGCGUAAAGCGCGCGUAGGCGGUUCGGUAAGUUGGGUGUGAAAGCCCGGGGCUCAACCCCGGAUGUGCGUUCAAAACUGCCGGACUUGAGAUCGAGAGAGGAGGGCGGAAUUCCCAGUGUAGAGGUGAAAUUCGUAGAUAUUGGGAAGAACACCGGUGGCGAAGGCGGCUCUCUGGCUCGGUUCUGACGCUGAGGUGCGAAAGCGUGGGGAGCAAACAGG